rnacentral:rRNA from 1 species
GGCAUGUCCGUGAAUGUAAAGUCCACUGGAAUGUGGCACCGCUUCGGCGUUCUUUGGGUCAGAGAGGGUGAAAACCCCGUUUACAUUCAUUGUGGGGCGUGUCUGU